rnacentral:ncRNA from 1 species
CAGAGUAGGAACAGUGCGUUAAGUGUCGAUGGAUGGGAAGUUGUCAUCGAACGAAGCCAAAGGCGCGAUACUGUUCCGCAUCCGCUGU